rnacentral:rRNA from 1 species
UACGAAGGGGACUAGCGUUGUUCGGAAUUACUGGGCGUAAAGCGCACGUAGGCGGAUUUGUAAGUCAGGGGUGAAAUCCCGGGGCUCAACCUCGGAACUGCCUUUGAUACUGCAAUCUCGAGUCCGAUAGAGGUGGGUGGAAUUCCUAGUGGUAGAGGUGAAAUUCGUAGAUAUUAGGAAGAACACCGGUGGCGAAGGCGGCCCACUGGAUCGGUACUGACGCUGAGGUGCGAAGCGUGGGGAGCAAACAGG